GGGUCGAUGGCGUAGCUGGUUAUCGCAUCUGUCUAACAUUACCAAAUCUCGGGAAACACCUUCACAGAAGGUCCUCAGUUCGAGCCUGGGUCGACUCA